rnacentral:rRNA from 1 species
AGUGAACGCUGGCGGUAGGCCUAACACAUGCAAGUCGAACGGCAGCACAGUAAGAGCUUGCUCUUACGGGUGGCGAGUGGCGGACGGGUGAGGAAUACAUCGGAAUCUACUUUUUCGUGGGGGAGAACGUAGGGAAACUUACGCUAAUACCGCAUACGACCUACGGGUGAAAGCAGGGGAUCUUCGGACCUUGCGCGAUUGAAUGAGCAGAUGUCGGAUUAGCUAGUUGGCGGGGUAAAGGCCCACCAAGGCGACGAUCCGUAGCUGGUCUGAGAGGAUGAUCAGCCACACUGGAACUGAGACACGGUCCAGACUCCUACGGGAGGCAGCAGUGGGGAAUAUUGGACAAUGGGCGCAAGCCUGAUCCAGCCAUACCGCGUGGGUGAAGAAGGCCUUCGGGUUGUAAAGCCCUUUUGUUGGGAAAGAAAAGCAGCAGGUUAAUACCCCGCUGUUCUGACGGUACCCAAAGAAUAAGCACCGGCUAACUUCGUG